UCGGCGGCAAAGUCGGUUUUCCCGAACUCGUAGCCUAGUCUAAUUCAGCAUUAUUUCUGCUAGUCAAACUGCUAAUUGUGUAGCAUACUAAAUGGUAGUAUUUUAUCCAAGUUAACAAUUUUGGUGAAGUUACCUCUCUGACAUGGUUGUGCCUGAGAGAGAUUUUCUUACAAAAUUACGCAAAGUAAAGAUUGAAGGAAGGAAACACUUGGAAAUAAGGAAAUCGAUAGGAUAUCUUGGGAUCGCAAUAAGGAAGACAGACUCCAGUAUGAAGAUAAUUUUCCAGAGCAGCAGAAUACAAUGGAUCUCUGAGCUCAUUAUACUUUUGUAAUGCUGCCAUAGUGACUGCUGUUAACCAUAUCAGACCGACUAUUGUAAGUUUGGAGGUUAACUGCAAUCAGGAAAAAUGAGGAAUGGCAAGCAGUAUGCUUUGAUGUAGUGCCACAGUCAAAUGAUUUUCUGAGAGGAGAUUAAAGUGACCACAUGGCACUGGAUAAGAGCUGGUUUUGAGGAGGUAAGGGGUAGAUAUAUCCAAGGAGGCAAUCAGGAGGGAGAAGCAAUACAGUAGUACCUUGAGAUACAAGUAUAAUUCAUUCCUGGACUGAGCUCGUAAGUCAAUUUGUUCGUAUCUCAAUUCAAUAUUUCCCAUAUAAAAUAACUGACAAAAAUUUGAUCCAUUCCAGCCCUCUAAAAACACCCAAAUUAAUUAUAAUAAUAAUUGAAAAAUCAUGU